rnacentral:lncRNA from 1 species
AUGCCCUCCCAUUGCUAUCGGGCUAUAGGUGUAGGCAGGUAUGAAGUAGGUUUGCGUCAUCUGAAGCAUAUGAACUGUCAAUGUCAAGUCCUCAGUGCCACCUUUUCAGGUGAGCUGUUGCCAAUCACCAGGAAAAAGAAAGAUCAACAACUGUGUUACUUCUUAACGAGGGUUACUCUGUGACCUCAAGAAGACAGAUCCAGAAAAAGAAAGACACAUCAAUUGCCAUUGUUUCCUCUCAUAACUUUCUAGUUCCUGAAAACUCCCUAUGCCUAGCCCCUAAAAGACCAGGUUAUUUAUACUUUUAUUUAAGAUUUAAAAAAUAAAAUAAAAUAAAUUGUUUAUGUUUAAAACUGU